rnacentral:rRNA from 1 species
UACGUAGGGGGCAAGCGUUGUCCGGAAUCAUUGGGCGUAAAGAGCGUGUAGGCGGCACGGUAAGUCCGCCGUGAAAGUCCAGGGCUCAACCCUGGAAUGCCGGUGGAAACUGUCGGGCUGGAGUCCGGAAGAGGCGAGUGGAAUUCCUGGUGUAGCGGUGAAAUGCGCAGAUAUCAGGAGGAACACCAAUGGCGAGGGCAGCUCGCUGGGACGGUACUGACGCUGAGACGCGAAAGCGUGGGGAGCAAACAGG